GACGUAGGGCGCGAGCGUUGUCCGGAUUUACUGGGCGUAAAGGGCGUGUAGGCGGCCAACUAAGUCCGACGUGAAAUCCCCAGGCUUAACCUGGGAACUGCGUCGGAUACUGGAUGGCUUGAAUCCGGGAGAGGGAUGCAGAAUUCCAGGUGUAGCGGUGAAAUGCGUAGAUAUCUGGAGGAAUACCGGUGGCGAAGGCGGCAUCCUGGACCGGCAUUGACGCUGAAGCGCGAAAGCUAGGGGAGCAAACGGG
rnacentral:rRNA from 1 species